rnacentral:rRNA from 1 species
UACGAAGGGGGCUGGCGUUGCUCGGAAUCACUGGGCGUAAAGGGUGCGUAGGCGGGUCUUUAAGUCAGGGGUGAAAUCCUGGAGCUUAACUCCAGAACUGCCUUUGAUACUGAAGAUCUUGAGUCCGGGAGAGGUGAGUGGAACUGCGAGUGUAGAGGUGAAAUUCGUAGAUAUUCGGAAGAACACCAGUGGCGAAGGCGACUCACUGGACACGUAUUGACGCUGAGGUGCGAAAGCGUGGGGAGCAAACAGG